UACAGGGGGGGCAAGCGUUGUUCGGAAUUACUGGGCGUAAAGGGCUCGUAGGCGGCCAACUAAGUCAGACGUGAAAUCCCUCGGCUUAACCGGGGAACUGCGUCUGAUACUGGAUGGCUUGAGUUCGGGAGAGGGAUGCGGAAUUCCAGGUGUAGCGGUGAAAUGCGUAGAUAUCUGGAGGAACACCGGUGGCGAAGGCGGCAUCCUGGACCGACACUGACACUGAGGAGCGAAAGCCAGGGGAGCAAACGGG
rnacentral:rRNA from 1 species